rnacentral:rRNA from 1 species
CUGAAUGGCCGCGGUAACUCUGACCGUGAUAAUGUAGCACAAUAAAUAGCCAAUUAAUUGUUGGCGGUAUGAAUGGAACCACGAGGGUCUUACUGUCUCAAGAGAAAAGCCAAUGAAAUUAUAAUUGUAGUGAAGAUACUACAUAAACAUUGUAAGACGAAAAGACCCUAUCGAGCUUUACUGGAUACCGAUAACGUUAACUUAGAAUGAUCGAUACUAAGUACCCUAAUUCUAAGUUAAUAAAUUUUGUUGGUAAGACAGUUUAGUUGGGGCGACUACCUUUGAAUAAGAAACGAAGGCGAGCUUAUGGUAUUAAUAAAAUCUCAUUAGCCUCACAGUGAGGAACACCCCUAGCUGACACAAGGACCUCGCUAGGGUUCCUAUGUGGGCGAUAGUGACCCGAUAUUAUUAUCCAAAAGAAAUAUCGAAAGCGGAUAAAAGCUACCGUAGGGAUAACACGUAAUAUUGUCGGAGAGUUCUUAUCGAGGACAGUGUUUGCGACCUCGAUGUUGAAUUGCGGUGUCCUGGUGCUGUAGAAGGU